AGGGCUGUUGGAUAUUGUGAGGAGGAGUAGUGUUGAGGGGUCUUUCCUAAAGUAUACAGUUUUGAGGGUGUUUAGCUUUAGGCUGUUCUGACUGCACCAUAGCACCAGCCUCUUCACCACCUGCCGGUAUGCAGAAUGUCUCAUCGCCAUCUUGGAUAAGACACUGAGCAUAGUAUCAUCUGCAAAUUUUAGGAGUUUAUCAGUUGGGUCAUUUGAAGUGCAGUCAUUAGUAUAGAAGGAGUAUAGACAAAUCCCUGAGGAGCGCCAUUACUGAUUGUCAAAAUACUGGAGGUGACACCUCCCAGUCUCAUCUGUUGUUUCCUGCCUGUCAGGAAGCUGGUGAUCCACUGACAGAUGGAAGAGGGUAUAGUGAGCCUUAGGAGUUUUGAGUGGAGAAUUUCCGGAAUUAUUGUAUUAAAAGCCAAACUGAAGUCGACAAAGAGAGUCCGGGCGUAUUUCCCUGGGCAUUCCAGGUGUUGCAAAAUGUAGUGUAGUCCAAUGUUGACUGCAUCUCCACUGAUCUGUUUGCUCGGUAGGCAAACAGCUGAUCUCUUGUAGUUUGUGAUGUCUUGCAGGCCUUUCCAAACUGAUGCAGGGUUGUUAGCUAAAAAAAUGGUUUUCAGCUUUACAGAGUAGCUUCCUUUGGCUAUUCUGAUCUCUUUUGUCAAAAUAAGAUCAGAAAAUAAUGUAAAUAAGAUGUAAAAAUAGAUGUAAAAAUAAGUCAUGCCGAGGCUGCCAUCCAUGGUGCCAUAUUGGAUCUUAUUAAGGCUAAAUUCAAAGAUUUAUAUACAGAAGUUUUAUAAAGUUUUGUAAAGUUUUAUAUAUAGAAAAUUUGGAACAUUUAUGAUGAUAAUGUACUGUUAUAGGAUUAAUGUAGAUUGACCUUGUGAUUCUUGCUGUAAUCUAUACAAUAUUUCAUCAAAGACCAUUAGCUCUUUAUAUUCCUAUUAUAUACCUAUUCACAUUUCAACCCCACCACUGUUCAAACCAAAUCUACACCCAUAUAAAAACCCGAUUCCAAAAAAGUUGGGACACUGUACAAAUUGUGAAUAAAAAAACGAAUGCAGUAAUUCAAACCUAUAUUUUAUUCACAAUAGAAUAUAGACAACAUACCAAAUGUUGAAAGUGAGACAUUUUGAAAUGUCAUGCCAAAUAUUGGCUCAUUUUUGAUUUCAUGAGAGCUACACAUUUCAAAAAAGUUGGGACAGGUAGCAAUAAGAGGCCAGAAAAAUAGUGGAGCAAUAUCAGAAGGUUUCUCAGAAAAAAAUUGCGUUUGAAAAAAAAAGAGUUUGAAGUUAUCAUCAUCUACAGUGCACAAUAUCAUCCAAAGAUUCAGAGAAUCUGGAACAAUCUCUGUGCAUAAAGGUCAAGGCCGGAAAACCAUACUGGAUGCCCGUGAUCUUCGGGCCCUUAGACGGCACUGCAUCACAUACAGGAAUGCUACUGUAAUGGAAAUCACAACAUGGGCUCAGGAAUACUUCUAGAAAACAAUGUUGGUGAACGCAAUCCACCAUGCCAUUCGCCGUUGCUGGCUAAAAGGAAGACCUUACAUGUUCCAACAUGACAAUGGCAGACCACAUACUGCAUCAAUUACAACAUCAUGGCUGUGUAGAAGAAGUAUCCGGGUACUGAAAUGGCCAGCCUGCAGUCCAGAUCUUUCACCCAUAGAAAACAUUUGAAACAGUUGAGCAACUAGAAGCCUGUAUUAGACAAGAAUGGGACAACAUUCCUAUUCCCAAACUUGAGCAACUUGUCUCUUCAGUCCCCAGACAUUUGCAGACUGUUAUAAAAAGAACAGUGUAUGCCACACAGUGGUAAAUUGUGGCCUUGUCCCAACUUUUUUGAGAUGUGUUGAUGCCAUGAAAUUAAAUUAUUUAAACUAUUACUUAUUUUCCCUUAAAAUGAUACAUUUUUUCAGUUGAAACAUUUGAUAUGUCAUCUAUGUUGUAUUCUGAAUAAAAUAUUGAAAUUAGAAACUUCCAGAUCAUUGCAUUCUGUUUAUAUUCACAAUGUGUACAGUGUCCCAACUUUUUUGGAAUCGGGUUUGUAUAUACUUCAUUGACUUUACAACUGCUGCACCAUUGGGCCGUUCUGGAAAAUGAGUUACUCUCAUAAUAAUAAUAAUAAUAAUAAUAAUAAUAAUAAUAAGAAUAAGAAUAAGAAUAAGAAUAAGAAUAAGAAUAAGAAUAAAAAAUAAAUAAUAAUGUGUGGAAUAGCUUUUAUACCAAAUGAAGGGUACCAUCUGAUCCUCUGCGACCCGGAUGGUUGAUAAAUGGUUCUUUAAUAAACACUCUUUUUCCCUUGGUUUUCAGAGUGCACACAUGGCUCAGCUCUCUCUACCAUGACUCUUGUCUCCACUCUCUUUAUCCUUGCCAUUGCUUAAUGAAACACAAAACACUUGUUGUCAGAUCCUUACCACUCACUUUUCCAGGGUCCACACUGAGGCACAAACCAGCACUUGACUCAUACCCCACUGCUUAAAUCAGGUCUCCUUUACUGAGAGAGGAAAUCUUCUAAAGCCAUCUGCCCUCCUGGGCUGUGGGGAACCUUGAACUUAAAAGUCCCAAGUGAUCUGUGUGCUGGCAUCCUCCAUGCAGUGGAGCCACUGGAGUGGUACUGUAGCAUGGUCAGAACAGAAGUUGAAGGCUCAGCAGAACAGAUUGGAGGGUGAGGCUAAAUGGCUGGAUGCUUCUUCUAGAUUAUUAGCUGUACUUUUAUCUAUCCUAUCUUAUCCAUGCUGCAUUGGCUCUGAGUCAAAUAUUGUAUUUAUUAUAAAAUACUAUUACUGAUCUAUAAAGCACUAAAUGGUCUUGAUGGUGAACUGGGAUGUUUGGAUGUUGUUGCUUUACCACCCUUGCAAGUCGCUCAGGUUUGCUGACUGUGGAGUGGUUGGAUGCUUUAUAUCCUAGGAAGAUCUCAAGUCUGUGUCACCUUCUGGCUCUUGUGUUUAUUUAUGAUUUCAUUUCAUUUCCUUUAACCAUUACACGAUUACAAUAAACCUGCCCCCACCACCACCCACCCACCCACUACCGUGCUCCGAGUCUUCUAAGAUCCGAGUCUGAUUGAUUCUUCUUCUGAACUUACUUCAUCAAUCCUGAUUCCCUACCCCGGGUAAAGUCUUGUUGCCUUUUGGUGCACUCUGUUGGGCAUAGGUCUGCAUGGACAGCCUGUGACUCAUAGGAUUGCUGUGUAUAGAACCGCUUAGAAACUAUCACACCAUCUUUAAACUACUGUUGCAUUAGCCAGCUUUAUGGUUGGGUCUUCAUCAGUGAACAUUUGAAGACUUUGGCAGAAAUCGCCCUUGACCUUUAGUUCCUUAGGAGCUCUUGCUUGCUUAAUUCCACUCAGCUACAAACUGUUGUAGAAAGGACAUUUUUACAUUUACAUUAUUUACUGUCCUUUAUCACCCAAAUGAGGAUGGGUUCCCUUCUGAGCCUGGUUCUUCUCAAGCUUUCCUCUUGAUUUUAUCUUAGGGAGUUUUCCCUUGCUACCAACGCCCUCGGCUUGCUCAUUAUAGGACAGAUACUUAUGCAAAGCUGCUUUGACACAAUGUGAACUGUUGAAAUGCUAUACAAAUAAAUUGAAUUGAAUUUAAUACUCUCUUGUACCAAGAGCUUCCAUUUCCAUAUCCAUUUCCAUUUACAGCAUUUGGGAGACACCCUUAUCCAGAGUGACGUACAAGACAGCUUUUGGCUAAUUUAUGCAUGGGGAGCGCCUUUCACGACCUGUGAAAACACAGUUCCCAGCCCUCUAUUCAGAUUUUUCACUUUAAAAUAAGACUUGCUUUUCACAUCAACAUUGUUACAAAAUUAUAUAACAGUAUGCUGUACAACUGCCAACUCUUUUCUCCAUGAGGUACACUCCAAAAAGAGGAAACUGAAUGAACAAAAUAUUUAACUUAAUAUUAAAACUGAAACUUCAAACAAUGUUUUGUUUGUAUUUAUAUUAUUUAUUAUUUUCUAAUCUUCUAAAGAAUACCAUUAAAAAAAUACAUUGCAUGCUAUAUAUUGUAAGAUAUUGUGACACCACAAUGGAGUAUACAAUGUGAUGAAUGUACAACCAAAACCUACAUGUAUUGUGUUAAUGGUGAUGUUGAGAUAAUAUGCAAAUAACUGCUGGCUAUUUGCAGACUGUUUUGUUUAUUGUUUCUCAAUAGGUAAAGCCAUGAUGAACAGAGUAAUAGGUAUGACUCAUCAUUGGGAUUCCCUGAUGCUGGGAGAUCCUAGCAAUUAAAUACAGAGGAUUUUCUCUUUACUCAUCCAAAUGUAAUGGAACCUUUCUGUCAGAGAUGAUUACAUUUCCUUAGUAACAGAGAUGAUACCAGUUCUGAUAUAGUAACCUUUAAAAGUAUCACAAUGAUUAUGCAGUUUCAUAUAGUUUGAUUUGCUGGUGUGCUAUGAAUCCUUGUACAAUUCAAUUUAAUUCAAUUCAAUUUAUUCAUAUAGGGCAAUUCACAUUUUCUGAAAUCAGCUUUACAUAAAUAUAGAAUUAUAGCCAAUGGUUCACAACUAUUUUGGUGGCACAAGGGGAUCUACUGUACAUAAUAUUAGGUAGUGCAGGAUGUUUUUAUGGCUGAUUGAUGUAAGUGUGCAUGUAUUAUAUAUAUAUAUAAAUAUAUAUAUUUAAAAUAAAUUAUGGGCAUAAAUUAAAGAUGGUACCCUUUACAGUGUAGUGCAGGUGUAGGUGCAGAUGAUAGUUUUACCUCUGUCGAUAGGAUAGAUGUGGUCCUUUUCUCAUUCAUCACUGAUGUAUAUUUUUGCGACAAGUACGACAAGUUUAAUUAAGCAUAAACUGAAUAAGCAGGUCGGAGGAAGCGGUAGAAAAUGAGUGAGAGAGAUGAGUGAGAGUGAGUGAAUAAGCAGGACAUUGGGGCAAUGGUAAAGAAAUUAUUUUAGUAGAAUUUCACACUUUGUGUUAGUGAGUUGCAACUGUACACAAUGUUUGCAUUUUUUUUUAUUUUGUUGCUGAUACUGUGCAAAGGUCACCCUGUAGUAGAGGAGGGGCUUAAUGAAGACAGUCAACAGCCAUUGAAUAUUCAUUUGUUCAGCUUGGGUUCCAUUAUGGAAAUAAACAGAGCAGGGAUUCUCCUCAACGCACUAUGCUGUAUGCAAAUUUGUUUAGGAAAUAUGCUGGUAGCUUUUAUAUAUAUAUAUGUGAAGGGUAGCGAAUGUCUCCAUAUCUGAGCCUGGUUUUGAAAGAACUACUAUAGCAAUCUACAUAAAGCAACAGAAAGAGCUACAUGCAGCAAAACAUGCAGGCAUUCAUAAAGAUUUCUCCUCUAUUGGUGAUGAUUUUGAUUCUGGCUUCCAAUACCUUUUCUUGUCACAUCAAAGUUGAAAACAUAUCCAAAAUGAAGCGAAUCUUGUACAGAUACGAAAGAUUAAACAAAGCUGUGAACAGUUUAUCUCUCUCUCCCUGGACAUACGAAGAUAAUACAGAAACCAUCCAUGGGGCCAAGUGUGAUAAUUUGGGAUGCUCGGGACUUGUGAAUGCCAGACCUGUACCAAUAUUUAUUGAAACCUGUGUUUACCAACAGGAUAAACACUACAACUACACUCUAGUAAAGUACAAUAUUAGUGUAGGCUGCACUUGUAUUAAGGAAAUGAGCUCUUAAAGCCAUUUUUAGGAGACCAUUAAUCUUCCAAGUUAUCUAAAUCCUUGUAAAACAACCUUCAUCACAACAAGGGAAUGUUUGUUAUUCAGUAUAAAUUAAAUGAAUAGCAGGUCAUUUUGAUGUUUCAUAAAUCUUUUAGAUAAUUGUUUUCUCUUAUAGAGUAUAUUUAUCCCAUUUUCUUAAUAUGUGUCUUAAUUAAUAAACAAUUAGGUCAUUUUGUUUGGCUUAUCAUGUAGUGUGUAUUCUGGAUAUUUAGACAUUUUCACAA